CAACAGGUUUUCAAAACCACACAUAUACACAAAAAUUUGAAA
rfam:Columba livia unplaced genomic scaffold scaffold274, whole genome shotgun sequence.